CUCGAGUGUGCUGUUUAUUUCAGUCGAUUGAUCACUCACAGCCUUCUGUGAAGAGAACUUAACACGAAAGAAAAAUGUCGUCUAAUUCUGCAAAACAGCUCUUUUCACGAAUUUUUGUUGUAAUAUUAUCUUUAACACCGUUAGUUGCUGAAAUAUGCCCAAGUAACAAUAGCAUUUCUCCAUGUAAGUGUUCAGAACUGAUCAUGAAGUGUCACAAUAUAAGCAUUCUUCAGGAUCUUCAGAAUGCUUUACAAGGAGCCUCAGGGUUUCAGUUGGACAAAUUUGUUCUCACUAAUUCUGUAAUCCACGCUCUGUCUUCUGGUAUAUUCAGUGGGUGUAACUUUCAGCACAUCAUAGUGGAAAGGACAAACCUCCCUUUUCUGACAUCACCAGUGUCCGGAGAGUCUCCAUUCCUCGGUAUUGCGAAACGUGUUACACAAGUGGAGUUACGCGAAAUUUACUCGCUCAAUGAAUGGGACUGGGCUCUGUUUUUCCCAAUUGGAACCCUGCGUACAAUGAUAAUUAGUUGCUGUAAUUUUACCUUUAUCCCCAACGACUUCGGUAAGCUAAACACCACUAAUCUACAAGAGCUGACAAUUGAAGAUUCCGAGGUGCGUUGGAUAGGAAGUUCUGCUUUUUCUACAUUAGAUCGUCUCUUAAAACUUGAUCUUUCCAGAAAUAUGAUUAAGACUUUGUUACGAAGCAUGCUUCCUUCUAAUGCAAUAGAACUGAUUUUGACAAACAACGAACUGACAAGCCUUCCCAGUGACAUUUUUAUUAAUAUGACUAAAUUAAUGAUUCUUAAUUUGAAGAACAACAAGCUUGAAACACUUUCUUUAUCAACGUUUUUAGAUUUAUUGAAAAAUGAGCAACGUGUGACAGUUGAAAUUGAAGAAUUCCCACGCUCAGCUAGACCUUCUCGUUAAAGAGGAAGAUUCGCAAUCAACAGGUCGCAGAUUAGAAUCUCGUCACCAAACAUAUUCGCCCUUUCAGCCGUAAGUAAAGAGUACCCCAAGAGUUGGCGAGGGAUGCUGUCAACUAGCUACCUUCCCUCUAAAUUAGAGCUAACUAGCUCAGAUAUCCCUUGAGUAGCUUUGUGUGAAAUUCAACAAACAAAAAAACCCAUAAUAUUCUAUAACCAGAAAAAAUACUGUACUUCUUUUUUCUCAAAAUUAAUUCGGUUUAUAAAAUCUCUAGAAGGUGGCGUAUUGUGCGACUGAAUCAUACUUCAUGUUUUCAUUCGUUAUUUGCACUCUUAUUCAAACUAUCAUGUCAUUAUGAUAAGUCAACAAUAAACCUAGCCCACAGUUACCUCAUAGACGCAACAACAGAUAUGCGAGGACAUAGAACGAGGAAAAACAGGUGUAGUGAUUUAUUGUAGGUGCCAUGAAAAGCUAAGACAUGGCGUUAAAAUUUAAAUAAUUUUUUAGUUUGUUUGUAAUUAUGCACAAAGCUACACAAUGGGCUAUCUGUGCUCUGCCCACCACGGAUAUUGAAACCCAGUUUCUAGCAUUGUAAGUCCGCAUACAUACCGCUGUGCUACUGUGGGGCAAGUUUAAAUGAAGAAACAAAUGGAAGAUAAAACAUUGAUGAAUUAUUCCGUCGUGAUUAAUUUAGGAAAAUAGUAAUCUCUCUAUUUUAUAGUAAGUGAAAAAAUUAAAACUGUGCCUAAUUAUAAAACAAUUCUAAAAGCAAACAGUAACUUCUUUAUAUUCCCUUUUAAGAUCAUGUUCUGAGUCAGUCAUAAACCAUAACAGAUUUGAUGCAAGGGUUUGUUUGUUUGUUUGAAGUUAAGCACAAAGCUACACAAUGGGCUAUCUGUGCUCUGCCCACCCGCAGACAAACCGCUGUGCCACUGCAAAGGUAACCCCUGGGACUGCACCUGUAACAUAGCAUGGUUGAACGACGGCAACAUUGAUGUCUACGAUAAAGAUUCUGCUACUUGUGCUUCACCCAGCGCACUGAAUAACACUGUAAUUGAAAACGUUAAUUGGAGUG
rnacentral:misc_RNA from 1 species